UCGGGAAUUUUGGGCAAUGGAGGGAACUCUGACCCAGCCAUGCCGCGUGCAGGAUGAAGGCGUUAUGCGUUGUAAACUGCUUUUAUAUAGGAAGAAAUAGUCCUUGCGAGGAAAGUUGACGGUACUAUAUGAAUAAGCACCGGCUAACUCCGUGCCAGCAGCCGCGGCAAUACGGAGGGUGCAAGCGUUGUCCGGAUUUAUUGGGUUUAAAGGGUGCGUAGGCGGUUUAUUAAGUCAGUGGUGAAAGACGGUCGCUCAACGAUUGCAGUGCCAUUGAUACUGGUAGACUUGAGUAUGAUUGAGGUAGCUGGAAUGGAUAGUGUAGCGGUGAAAUGCAUAGAUAUUAUCCAGAACACCAAUUGCGUAGGCAAGUUACUAAGUCAUAACUGACGCUGAGGCACGAAAGUGUGGGUAUCAAACAGGAUUAGAUACCCCUGUAGUCCCUGAGCGGGCUGGCAAGGCGCAU
rnacentral:rRNA from 1 species